rnacentral:rRNA from 1 species
AUGCAUGAAGGGUCUACCAUGCAGUCGACGGUGAAGCAGAGCUUGCUCUGUGGAUCAGUGGCGAACGGGUGAGUAACACGUGAGCAAUCUGCCCCUGACUCUGGGAUAAGCGCUGGAAACGGCGUCUAAUACCGGAUACGAGCUGCGACCGCAUGGUCAGUAGCUGGAAAGAAUUUCGGUCAGGGAUGAGCUCGCGGCCUAUCAGCUUGUUGGUGAGGUAAUGGCUCACCAAGGCGUCGACGGGUAGCCGGCCUGAGAGGGUGACCGGCCACACUGGGACUGAGACACGGCCCAGACUCCUACGGGAGGCAGCAGUGGGGAAUAUUGCACAAUGGGCGAAAGCCUGAUGCAGCAACGCCGCGUGAGGGAUGACGGCCUUCGGGUUGUAAACCUCUUUUAGCAGGGAAGAAGCGAAAGUGACGGUACCUGCAGAAAAAGCGCCGGCUAACUACGUGCCAGCAGCCGCGGUAAUACGUAGGGCGCAAGCGUUAUCCGGAAUUAUUGGGCGUAAAGAGCUCGUAGGCGGUCUGUCGCGUCUGCUGUGAAAACCCGAGGCUCAACCUCGGGCCUGCAGUGGGUACGGGCAGACUAGAGUGCGGUAGGGGAGAUUGGAAUUCCUGGUGUAGCGGUGGAAUGCGCAGAUAUCAGGAGGAACACCGAUGGCGAAGGCAAGAUCUCUGGGCCCGUAACUGACGCUGAGGAGCGAAAAGGGUGGGGAGCAAACAGGCUUAGAUACCCUGGUAGUCCACCCCGUAAACGUUGGGAACUAGUUGUGGGGUCCAUUCCACGGAUUCCGUGACGCAGCUAACGCAUUAAGUUCCCCGCCUGGGGAGUACGGCCGCAAGGCUAAAACUCAAAGGAAUUGACGGGGACCCGCACAAGCGGCGGAGCAUGCGGAUUAAUUCGAUGCAACGCGAAGAACCUUACCAAGGCUUGACAUAUAGAGGAAACGUCUGGAAACAGUCGCCCCGCAAGGUCUCUAUACAGGUGGUGCAUGGUUGUCGUCAGCUCGUGUCGUGAGAUGUUGGGUUAAGUCCCGCAACGAGCGCAACCCUCGUUCUAUGUUGCCAGCACGUAAUGGUGGGAACUCAUGGGAUACUGCCGGGGUCAACUCGGAGGAAGGUGGGGAUGACGUCAAAUCAUCAUGCCCCUUAUGUCUUGGGCUUCACGCAUGCUACAAUGGCCGGUACAAAGGGCUGCAAUACCGUGAGGUGGAGCGAAUCCCAAAAAGCCGGUCCCAGUUCGGAUUGAGGUCUGCAACUCGACCUCAUGAAGUCGGAGUCGCUAGUAAUCGCAGAUCAGCAACGCUGCGGUGAAUACGUUCCCGGGUCUUGUACACACCGCCCGUCAAGUCAUGAAAGUCGGUAACACCUGAAGCCGGUGGCCCAACCCUUGUGGAGGGAGCCGUCGAAGGUGGGAUCGGU